rnacentral:tRNA from 1 species
GAAAUAUAGUCAAAAAGAAGCUUCUAACUUACUUUUUUAGCGGUGAAACCCCGUUAAUAUUUCU